GAAUGUGAGGGCGAUCUGGUCGCGACAUCUGUCACCCCAUUGAUAGCCAGGGUUGAUUCGACUGAUCUGGCUGGCUAGGUGGAUAUCCCGUUCCUCCCUCACCGCUCCAUAUGCGUCCCUCCUGAAGCUGUAUGCUUGGUCGAAGAGCAUGCAGCUUCCCACUAGAGGAGGACCGUUCUUCCAUCAUAGGUAUACAAGUAGCUACAUACCCCUGCUAGAACCUCCAAACAAGUACUAAAAUACUAACCUCAGAGUCCCACUGAAGGCACAAGUCAAGAAGAGUCCUGGCAGCCCUGGCAUUGUGU
rnacentral:snRNA from 1 species